rnacentral:rRNA from 1 species
CCUAACUCGUGGACGUGGAUAACCUCGGGAAACUGAGAAUAAACCACGAUAGAUCAUAGUGCCUGGAAUGGCUUAUGGUCCAAACAGUUUACUGCCAUGGGAUGGGACUGCGGCCUAUCAGCUUGUUGGUGAGGUAAUGGCCCACCAAGGCGAUUACAGGUACGGGCUCUGAGAGGAGAAGCCCGGAGAUGGGUACUGAGACACGGACCCAGGCCCUAUGGGGCGCAGCAGGCGAGAAACCUUAGCAAUGUGCGAAAGCACGACUGGGUCAGUCCGAGUGAUUCCUGAUAAAGGAGUCUUUUGCUUGUCCUAAAAGCACAGGUGAAUAAGGGGUGGGCAAGUCUGGUGUCAGCCGCCGCGGUAAUACCAGCACCUCGAGUGGUCAGGACGUUUAUUGGGCCUAAAGCAUCCGUAGCCGGCUUUGCAAGUCUUCGGUUAAAUCCACCUGCUCAACAGAUGGGCCGCUGGAGAUACUACAGAGCUAGGGAGUGGGAGAGGCAGACNGGUAUUCAGUGGGUAGGGGGUAAAAAUCCUCUGAUCCAUUGAGGAC